CCUACGGGUGGCCGCAGUGAGGAAUAUUGGUCACUGGGCGUAAGCCUGAACCAGCCAAGUCGCGUGAGGGAUGAAGGUUCUAUGGAUCGUAAACCUCUUUUAUCAGGGAAUAAAGUGUGGGACGUGUCCUGUUUUGUAUGUACCUUAUGACUAAGGAUCGGCUAACUCCGUGCCAGCAGCCGCGGUAAUACGGAGGAUCCGAGCGUUAUCCGGAUUUAUUGGGUUUAAAGGGUGCUUAGGCGGCCUUUUAAGUCAGCGGUGAAAGUCGGUGGCUCAACCAUAGAAUUGCCGUUGAAACUGGGAGGAUUGAGUAUGUUUGAGGCAGGCGGAAGGCGUGGUGUAGCGGUGAAAUGCUUAGAUAUCACGCAGAACCCCGAUGGCGAAGGCAGCCUGCCAAGCCAUGACUGACGCUGAUGCACGAAAGCGUGGGGAUCAAACAGGAUUAGAUACCCGAGUAGUC
rnacentral:rRNA from 1 species